rnacentral:rRNA from 1 species
GAGUUGUAGUCUAGAGAAGCAUCAUCCGUGCUGGACCAUGUACAAGUCUCUUGGAACAGAGCGUCAUAGAGGGUGAGAAUCCCGUCCUUGACAUGGACUCCCAGUACUUUGUGUUGUGCUCUCAACGAGUCGAGUUGUUUGGGAAUGCAGCUCAAAAUGGGUGGUAAAUUCCAUCUAAAGCUAAAUAUUGGCGAGAGACCGAUAGCGAACAAGUACCGUGAGGGAAAGAUGAAAAGAACUUUGAAAAGAGAGUAAAAUAGUACGUGAAAUUGUUGAAAGGGAAACGAUUGAAGUCAGUCGUACCGACGGAAAAUCAACUCUUCGAGUGUGGACUUUGUGGACGUGCGUGAGCUUUAACGGCCUCGCUGUUUGUAACGUUCGUGCUUUUUGGGUGUACUUUUUCGUAUGGUAGGCCAACAUCAGUUUUGAUCGCUAUAAAAUGACCGGAGGAACGUAGCUUCGAUCUCGUAUUGAAGUGUUAUAGCCUUUGGUAGAUGUGGUGAUUGGGACUGAGGAUUGCAACGAAUAUCCUUUGGGCUAUCCGUCUGAUCUCUGAAAGUCGCUUAGGUGCCGAAAGCUUGCUU